rnacentral:tRNA from 1 species
CGGUAGACGCUACGGACUGAAAUCGUGAGGGGGCAAGUCCCUCUAUCCCC